rnacentral:lncRNA from 1 species
CUGGAAUACUAUCGGUAGCAAACGGACUUCGUUGUCACUCAUUUGUUUUCGAUGAUGGAGCCUUCAAAUCGACGAUCGACACCGUUGAACAUGAUCUAUACCCCUUAAACUAUCUAGAAACUAAAUUACAAAUCUUUUCGACAUCAUUUAUCUAAUAAUCAACGGGUUUCAAACUUUGUAAUUUUAAUGGUAGAUAUGUAGCGUUUUCUCAUUUAACGGUGUAAGCCUAUCCAAAUUAAUUGAAUUUUGGUUAGAAAACUCUUUAAACUAUUUAGAACAAGAUAUAUACUAUCGAUCUUGAUUAUAAAAUUUCUAUCAUCACUUUUUAAAGGAUAUUUAUUUUCAGCUGUUUAUUUUUAUGCCAACUUGAUGGAUAAGAGAACAAUAUCGAAAAAGUAUGAAAUUUGAUUUCUAGAUACUUCAUGUGGUAUAGAUCAUUUUCAACGGUGCCGAUCGUCGAUUUGGAGGCUCCAUUAUUGAAAACAAAUGGGUGGCAACGUAGCUCGUUUGCUACCGAUAGUAUUCCAGCUCAACUAUAUAUAUAUAUAUAUAUAUAUAUAUAGUAGAGUAGGGCUAGAAUACUUUUACAAGUAUCACCUAAGUAAUACUUGUGUGUUUUUAGUCCUUGGAUGGAGAGAUAUGAGGUUGAGAUGAUGGUGGUAGGUGGUGGUAGGUGGAAUAGUGUUUAAUCCAAAGGUUAUUUGUAAUCAAAAAAUAGAUCCAAUGGCUAAAAACGUGAUAGUAACAUGGGGAUGAUANUAGUAACCUCACUAUAUAUAUAUAUAUAUAUAUAUAUAUAUAUAUAUAUAUAUAUAUAUAUAUAUAUAUAUAUAUAU